rnacentral:rRNA from 1 species
GACGAACGCUGGCGGCGUGCUUAACACAUGCAAGUCGAACGGAAAGGCCCCUUUGGGGGUACUCGAGUGGCGAACGGGUGAGUAACACGUGAGUAACCUGCCCUUGACUUCGGGAUAACUUCAGGAAACUGGGGCUAAUACCGGAUAGGAAUCCUUGCUGCAUGGUGGGGGUUGGAAAGCUUCGGCGGUUUUGGAUGGACUCGCGGCUUAUCAGCUUGUUGGUGGGGUAGUGGCUUACCAAGGCUUUGACGGGUAGCCGGCCUGAGAGGGCGACCGGCCACAUUGGGACUGAGAUACGGCCCAGACUCCUACGGGAGGAAGAAGUGGGGAAUAUUGAACAAUGGGCGGAAGCCUGAUGCAGCAACGCCGCGUGCGGGAUGACGGCCUUAGGGUUGAAAACCGCUUUCAGCAGGGGCGAAGCUUGUGGUGACGGUACCUGCAGAAGAAGCACCGGCUAACUACGUG